AAUAUUGCGCAAUGGGGGAAACCCUGACGCAGCAACGCCGCGUGAGCGACGAAGGCCNNNGGGUCNUAAAGCUCUGUCAAUAGNGAANAAGUCUAAUAAGUAAAUAGCUUAUUAGGUGACGGUACCAAUAAAGGAAGCCCCGGCUAACUACGUGCCAGCAGCCGCGGUAAUACGUAGGGGGCGAGCGUUGUCCGGAAUUACUGGGCGUAAAGGGCGUGUAGGCGGCUAGAUAAGUCAGGUGUGAAAACUGUGGGCUCAACCCAGAGAUUGCACCUGAAACUGUCUAGCUUGAGGGUAGGGGAGGAAAGUGGAAUUCCUAGUGUAGCGGUGAAAUGCGUAGAUAUUAGGAGGAACACCAGUGGCGAAGGCGACUUUCUGGCCUAACCCUGACGCUGAGGCGCGAAAGCGUGGGGAGCAAACA
rnacentral:rRNA from 1 species